UAUUCAUGAUCGAGAAACUAGCGGCUUUUCUGCUGCUUGCUUUGGGUUGGGAGGGUUUCGAGCACAAUCUAAGUCUAACCCACAUAAAUAGGUAAUGAAGCUCAAGGAACAGCUUUCCGAGGCAGAGAAUGAGAUAUAGAGGCUACUGGAGAGAUGCGAUGGUGUUUCAAGCAACAGCCCAGCUUCAUUGUUCUCCAUGGAAGCCAUGGAUCCACCUCCUUUUCUAGGGGAGUUUGGGAUGGAAGGGUUUGGAAAUAUUUUAUAUGUGCCAGAAAACAAUUACAAUCAUGGCAUGGAUUGGGUUAAUCUUAUAUGAUAUGUAAUUAAAGCAAUUCUAGUAUUAAUGUAGCUAGUGACCAUCUUAUGUA